rnacentral:rRNA from 1 species
UGGUACUGAGACACGGACCAGACUCCUACGGGAGGCAGCAGUGAGGAAUAUUGGACAAUGGGCGGGAGCCUGAUCCAGCCAUGCCGCGUGCAGGAAGACGGUCCUAUGGAUUGUAAACUGCUUUUGUACGGGAAGAACAAGGGGCACGUGUGCCCCUCUGACGGUACCGUAAGAAUAAGGAUCGGCUAACUCCGUGCCAGCAGCCGCGGUAAUACGGAGGAUCCGAGCGUUAUCCGGAAUCAUUGGGUUUAAAGGGUCCGUAGGCGGGCCAUUAAGUCAGGGGUGAAAGUCUGCGGCUCAACCGUAGAAUUGCCCUUGAUACUGGUGGUCUUGAGUUAUGGUGAAGUAACUAGAAUAUGUAGUGUAGCGGUGAAAUGCAUAGAUAUUACAUAGAAUACCGAUUGCGAAGGCAGGUUACUAACCAUAUACUGACGCUGAUGGACGAAAGCGUGGGGAGCGAACAGGAUUAGAUACCCUGGUAGUCCACGCCGUAAACGAUGGAUACUAGCUGUCCGGAUGCAAAUCUGGGCGGCCAAGCGAAAGUGAUAAGUAUCCCACCUGGGGAGUACGUCCGCAAGGAUGAAACUCAAAGGAAUUGACGGGGGCCCGCACAAGCGGUGGAGCAUGUGGUUUAAUUCGAUGAUACGCGAGGAACCUUACCAGGGCUUAAAUGUGGUCUGACAGCUUUAGAGAUAGAGCCUCCUUCGGGCAGAUCACAAGGUGCUGCAUGGUUGUCGUCAGCUCGUGCCGUGAGGUGUCAGGUUAAGUCCUAUAACGAGCGCAACCCCUGCCGUUAGUUGCCAGCAUGUAAAGAUGGGGACUCUAACGGGACUGCCGGUGCAAACCGCGAGGAAGGUGGGGAUGACGUCAAAUCAUCACGGCCCUUACGUCCUGGGCCACACACGUGCUACAAUGGCCGGUACAGAGAGCAGCCACUGGGCAACCAGGAGCGAAUCUAUAAAACCGGUCACAGUUCGGAUCGGGGUCUGCAACUCGACCCCGUGAAGCUGGAAUCGCUAGUAAUCGGAUAUCAGCCAUGAUCCGGUGAAUACGUUCCCGGGCCUUGUACACACCGCCCGUCAAGCCAUGGAAGCCGGGAGUGCCUGAAGUCCGUCACCGCAAGGAGCGG